rnacentral:lncRNA from 1 species
GAAAGCUGAGGACAAUAGGGGAGGACAGUAAGUAGAAGGAAGUGGCUUCAGUCCUGAUUCUGUCAUUCUCUCCCUCCCUCCUUCCUUCCUUCCUUCCUUCCUUCCUUCCUUCCUUCCUUCCUUCCUUCCUCCUUUGAAGCCUUCGGGAACUAGGAAUUGAUACACCCUCCCCUCAAAUUGUACCACAGGAAACUGAGGGCCAAAGACACUGCUAAUGUGAAGAGCCUUAGCCAGGGUGUAUGGGCAGGCCUUUGACCUCCAUGUAGCCCAAGGCUAUGCAGGAAGUAGCCUGAGAGGAAAGCUGUGCAGACCAUGGCAAAGCAUGAGGAGAAAGCAGCAUGUGCCCCCUCCGCACAGGAAGGGGCUUUCUCUAUCACAGGGUGUCACUACCAUGGCCGACAGCAUUCCAGCCCCGCCCCUCUGGACGGGGCAAUGCUCUAGCAAGCAGUCGAACAGGUGCCAGCCCAGUUUCUCUCUCCAAGAUGCAGACGUAAGCCAGGAAGGCACCUUAGAGAAGGCCCCUCACAGUCCCACUGGAACCUGAUACCCCUGUCCCUAUGGACACUGUAAAUACCUCUGUGUGCACACCCCUCCUUCAUCAAGUCCCAAACCACACACACAACAAAGCCCAGAUACUCCAAGAUGGAGAGGGCCGUCCCAGAAGCCAGAGCAGUGCUCCCUUCCCUCCUCCUCC